GACGAACGCCGGCGGCGUGCUUAACACAUGCAAGUCGAACGAUGAACCCGGAGCUUGCUCCGGUGGAUUAGUGGCGAACGGGUGAGUAACACGUGAGUAACCUGCCCUUGACUCUGGGAUAACUGCGGGAAACUGUAGCUAAUACCGGAUACGACCCUCGGCGGCAUCGCCAGGGGGUGGAAAGAAUUUCGGUCAAGGAUGGACUCGCGGCCUAUCAGCUAGUUGGUGAGGUAACGGCUCACCAAGGCGACGACGGGUAGCCGACCUGAGAGGGUGACCGGCCACACUGGGACUGAGACACGGCCCAGACUCCUACGGGAGGCAGCAGUAGGGAAUUUUCCGCAAUGGGCGAAAGCCUGACGGAGCAACGCCGCGUGAGGGAUGAAGGUCUUCGGAUCGUAAACCUUUGUCUUCAGGGACGAUAAUGACGGUACCUGAGGAGGAAGCCACGGCUGACUACGUGCCAGCAGCCGCCGUAA
rnacentral:rRNA from 1 species